AGAGUUUGAUCAUGGCUCAGGACGAACGCUGGCGGCGGGCCUAACACAUGCAAGUCGAACGCACUCGACCUUCGGGUCACAUGAGUGAGUGGCGAACGGGUGAGUAACACGUGAGGAACCUGCCCCGAAGACUGGAAUAACCCGAGGAAACUCGGGCUAAUACCGGAUAUCCCCACCAGGUCGCAUGGCCAGGUGAGGAAAUGCUCCGGCGCUUCGGGAGGGUCUCGCGACCUAUCAGCUAGUUGGUGAGGUAACGGCUCACCAAGGCAUCGACGGGUAGCUGGUCUGAGAGGACGAUCAGCCACACUGGGACUGAGACACGGCCCAGACUCCUACGGGAGGCAGCAGUGGGGAAUCUUGCGCAAUGGGCGAAAGCCUGACGCAGCCACGCCGCGUGAGGGAUGAAGGCUUUCGGGUUGUAAACCUCUUUCAGCAGGGACGAAAAUGACGGUACCUGCAGAAGAAGCUCCGGCCAACUACGUGCCAGCAGCCGCGGUAACACGUAGGGAGCAAGCGUUGUCCGGAUUUAUUGGGCGUAAAGAGCUCGUAGGCGGUUUAGUAAGUCGGGUGUGAAAACUUGAGGCUCAACCUCAAGAGGCCACUCGAUACUGCUGUGACUGGAGUCCGGUAGAGGAGUGUGGAAUUCCUGGUGUAGCGGUGAAAUGCGCAGAUAUCAGGAGGAACACCGACAGCGAAGGCAGCACUCUGGGCCGGUACUGAC
rnacentral:rRNA from 1 species